rnacentral:rRNA from 1 species
AUUGAACGCUGGCGGCAUGCCUAACACAUGCAAGUCGAACGGGGGCAGCAAUGCCCUAGUGGCGGACGGGUGAGGAAUACGUAGGAACCGGCCCACGAGUGGGGGACAACCUGGGGAAACCCAGGCUAAUACCGCAUACGCUCGCGAGAGGAAAGCGGGGGACCUUCGGGCCUCGCGCUGGUGGACGGGCCUACGUCCGAUUAGCUAGUUGGUGGGGUAAAAGCCUACCAAGGCGACGAUCGGUAGCUGGUCUGAGAGGAUGAUCAGCCACACUGGGACUGAGACACGGCCCAGACUCCUACGGGAGGCAGCAGUGGGGAAUAUUGGACAAUGGGCGCAAGCCUGAUCCAGCCAUGCCGCGUGAGUGAAGAAGGCCU